rnacentral:rRNA from 1 species
UAAAACGUAGACCUCAAGCGUUAUCCGGAAUCAUUGGGCGUAAAGCGUCUGUAGGCGGUCUUUUAAGUUAGAUAUUAAAUCUAAAAGCUCAACUUUUAGACUGUAUCUAAAACUGGAAGACUAGAGGGAAAGAGAGGUAAAUGGAACUUGUGGUGUAGUAGUGAAAUGUGCUAAUAUCACAAGGAACACCAAUAGCAAAGGCAGUUUACUGGCUUUUUCCUGACGUUGAGAGACGAAAGCGUGGGGAGCGAAACGGAUUAGAUACCCGUGUAGUCCACGCUGUAAACGAUGGGUACUAGAUACAGGGAGAGUCGACCCUUCCUGUUUCGAAGCUAACGCGUUAAGUACCCCGCCUGGGGAGUACGGCCGCAAGGCUA